rnacentral:rRNA from 1 species
UAUGAUUAGAGCGGCGGACGGGUGAGUAACGCGUAGGAAUCUACCUAGUAGUGGGGGAUAACGUGUGGAAACGCACGCUAAUACCGCAUACGUCCUACGGGAGAAAGCAGGGGACCUUCGGGCCUUGCGCUAUUAGAUGAGCCCAAGUCGGAUUAGCUAGUUGGUAGGGUAAAGGCCUACCAAGGCGACGAUCUAUAGCUGGUCUGAGAGGACGAUCAGCCACACUGGGACUGAGACACGGCCCAGACUCC